rnacentral:rRNA from 1 species
CAGCAGCCGCGGUAAUACGUAGGUGGCAAGCGUUGUCCGGAAUUAUUGGGCGUAAAGGGCUCGCAGGCGGUUUCUUAAGUCUGAUGUGAAAGCCCCCGGCUCAACCGGGGAGGGUCAUUGGAAACUGGGGACCUUGAGUGCAGAAGAGGAGAGUGGAAUUCCACGUGUAGCGGUGAAAUGCGUAGAGAUGUGGAGGAACACCAGUGGCGAAGGCGACUCUCUGGUCUGUAACUGACGCUGAGGAGCGAAAGCGUGGGGAGCGAACAGGAUUAGAUACCCUGGUAGUCCACGCCGUAAACGAUGAGUGCUAAGUGUUAGGGGGUCUCCGCCCCUUAGUGCUGUAGCUAACGCAUUAAGCACUCCGCUUUGGGAGUACGGUCGCAAGACUGAAACUCAAA